AUGACUUUCAUCACCAUCUUCAUCUGGAUCUUGAAUAAUCUAAUCCAUCAUAUUCACCUUUCAGAGUCCAGAGGUCAGGUGACUGUGACUCAGACUCCUGCACUGAAAUCUGCUCUUCCAGGAGACACAGUCACUAUCAACUGUAAAACCAACGUUGUUGUUGGUAACUGCGGGGGUUCACAGAACUGUUUAGCCUGGUACCAACAGAAACCAGGACAGGCUCCUAAACUCCUGAUUUAUUAUGCAAGUUCCCGUCAGUCUGGAGUUCCUGAUCGUUUCAGUGGCAGUGGAUCUGGGACUGACUUCAUUCUGACCAUCAGUAACAUCCAGACUGGAGAUGAAGGAGAUUAUUACUGUCAGAGUUACCACUACAUCAGUAGCAAAUAUGUGUUCACACAGUGA